rnacentral:rRNA from 1 species
CCUACGGGAGGCAGCAGUGAGGAAUAUUGGUCAAUGGGCGAGAGCCUGAACCAGCCAAGUCGCGUGAAGGAUGACGGCCCUACGGGUUGUAAACUUCUUUUGUCAGGGAGCAAUUGGGUCCACGCUUGGGCUUAGCGAGAGUACCUGAAGAAAACGCAUCGGCUAACACCGGGCUAGCAGCCGCGGUAAUACGGGGGUUGCGAGCGUGAUCCGGAUUUAUUGGGUUUAAGGGGUGCGUAGGCGGAAUAUCAAGUCAGAGGUAAAAAUUCGGGGUUCAACCCCGUCGUUCCAUUGAAACUGAUGUUCUUGAGUGGGCGAGAGGUAUGCGGAAUGCGUGGUGUAGCGGUGAAAUGCAUAGAUAUCACGCAGAACUCCGAUUGCGAAGGCAGCAUACCGGCGCCCAACUGACGCUGAAGCACGAAAGCGUGGGUAUCGAACAGGAUUAGAUACCCGAGUAGUC